UGAGGAACAUGACCUUCGGCGGGGGAUAGCCGGCCCAACGGCCGGGUAAUACCGCGUACGACCACAUGGGGACAUCCCUGAGUGGUGAAAGCAGCAAUGCGCCGAUGGAGUGCCUCGCGGCCUAUCAGCUAGUUGGUGAGGUAACGGCUCACCAAGGCGACGACGGGUAGCUGGUCUGAGAGGAUGGCCAGCCACAUUGGGACUGAGACACGGUCCAGACUCGUACGGGAG
rnacentral:rRNA from 1 species